rnacentral:rRNA from 1 species
AUUGAACGCUGGCGGCAUGCCUUACACAUGCAAGUCGAACGGUAACGCGGGGCAACCUGGCGACGAGUGGUGAACGGGUGAGUAAUGCAUCGGAACGUGCCCAGUAGUGGGGGAUAGCCCGGCGAAAGCCGGAUUAAUACCGCAUACGACCUAAGGGUGAAAGCGGGGGAUCGCAAGACCUCGCGCUAUUGGAGCGGCCGAUGUCGGAUUAGCUAGUUGGUGGGGUAAAGGCCUACCAAGGCAACGAUCCGUAGCUGGUCUGAGAGGACGACCAGCCACACUGGGACUGAGACACGGCCCAGACUCCUACGGGAGGCAGCAGUGGGGAAUUUUGGACAAUGGGCGCAAGCCUGAUCCAGCCAUGCCGCGUGCGGGAAGAAGGCCUUCGGGUUGUAAACCGCUUUUGUCAGGGAAGAAACGGUCUGGGUUAAUACCUCGGGCUAAUGACGGUACCUGAAGAAUAAGCACCGGCUAACUACGUGCCAGCCGCCGCGGUAAAAC